AAGCGCAAACGCAAGGACACUAAGUGUGAGCCGCCGGGCACCCGUAGCUGAGCUUCCCAGGCUCCUACGCGGGCACCGGAAGUGGCCGCCCAGCUUGACUUCCGCUCCCAAAGCACUCGCUCCCGGGGCUCGCGUUCUGGUUGUUAGGAAACCACCAAGGAGUUUGAGAGCAUGGAGGCCGCGCGCCCUCCCUCUACGGCAGGGAGGUUCGUGGUGGUCGGCGGAGGCAUCGCGGGUGUCACCUGUGCUGAGCAGGGAGAAAUAGAACAUGGUGGUUUUGAAGAAUCAGAGUGUGAUUUAAGAAGAUUCUUUCAAGAAGCUUAAAGUGAGAGAGAGGUUGUAGCCAGAGGAAAAUGAUGAAAAAAAAUGGCAACCUUUUUUUUUUUUUUAAGUAAGUUGGCUGACUCUGGAAAACUCUGUGGAGGUUCCUCAAAG